AAUCCACACGACUCUCGGCAACGGAUAUCUCGGCUCUCGCAUCGAUGAAGAACGUAGCGAAAUGCGAUACCUGGUGUGAAUUGCAGAAUCCCGCGAACCAUCGAGUCUUUGAACGCAAGUUGCGCCUGAGGCCUUUCGGCUGAGGGCACGCCUGCCUGGGCGUCACGC
rnacentral:rRNA from 1 species